CUCUGGCAUAGGCUGGGAUCCCCCUUGUGCUUCUAGCUUGCUACCAUAUCUGGUAUCUCUGUUCUACUUGUGGCUAAUGGCUUUCAGUCCUUUCCCUUUGCUUGCCAGUCAUGUUCCCUGGGGAUCCCAGGCCUGUCAGGAUACACACACACAGAGGACCAUGCUCCCAGCCACCCUCUCCUUGAUGCUAACCCAUUUGCUUUCCUGUUACAGUACCUGUGACUGACCCUGCCUCCUCCACUAGCUCCUUUUCCCAGCUGAUGUCUUUUGCCAGCUCUGGUAAGUGUCCUUGCUUGGAGAAGCUGGUGGUGGGACUCCAUGUUGUGCUACCUGGCAGCAUCCCAGCCUUUGAAUCCACAGCUCCCUCGGGUGGCCCAGAGCCAAAGGGACCCUGCAGUGGUCUUUCCUCUCCUGUUCCAGCCUCCACUGCUGUUGACCCAAUGCCUCCCACCAGCUCAGAUGACAGCGAGGAUGGAGACAGCAGGGGAUUCCUUGUUACAUUUUCCCAUCUCUUGGCAAAAGCCAUUCAUUUAGUGUGUUACAAGUACCAAAAGGUGUUUGGGCAGCUUUUUGGUUGAAAGAUGAUGAGUGUGGGAGUGGGCAGGGGAACGGAAGGAGUCUCCCAUCCCUGCAGCGACAUCUGCCACUCACUGAUGUUGAAUCCCAGAUGAUGAUCUUGAUGCCAGCUCCUCUCACAGUUGACUUUGACCCUACCUGGCAUCUCUGAAGACUGCGGAGCUAACCCCACUGACAUCUGCCCGGUCGCAGCAUCUGAUCAAUGCUAAAUUCAAAAUAAAGUCCAAACUAUAGAGCUGAGCCUGCCUCCU
rnacentral:lncRNA from 1 species